rnacentral:rRNA from 1 species
UACGUAGGAGACGAGCGUUGUCCGGAGUUACUGGGCGUAAAGGGUGCGCAGGUGGCUGUGCGCGUGGGGAGUGAAAUCGCCCGGCUUAACUGGGCGGGGGCUUUCCAGACGGCGCGGCUUGAGCAGCGGAGGGGGGCGUGGAAUUCCGGGUGGAGCGGUGAAAUGCGUAGAGAUCCGGAGGAACACCGACGGCGUAGGCAGCGCCCUGGCUGUGAAUAAAGCUGACACUGAGGCACGAAAGCUGGGGGAGCAAACAGG